rnacentral:rRNA from 1 species
ACCGAGAUUCCCCCAGUAGCGGCGAGCGAACGGGGAGCAGCCCGGAGUCUGAAUCAGCUUGUGUGUUAGUGGAACGGUCUGGAAAGUCCGACGGUACAGGGUGAUAGUCCCGUACACGAAAGCACACAUGCUGUGAACUCGAAGAGUAGGGCGGGACACGUGGUAUCCUGUCUGAAUAUGGGGGGACCAUCCUCCAAGGCUAAAUACUCCUGACUGACCGAUAGUGAACCAGUACCGUGAGGGAAAGGCGAAAAGAACCCCGGCGAGGGGAGUGAAAAAGAACCUGAAACCGUGUACGUACAAGCAGUGGGAGCCUCUUUAUGGGGUGACUGCGUACCUUUUGUAUAAUGGGUCAGCGACUUAUAUUCUGUAGCAAGGUUAACCGUAUAGGGGAGCCGAAGGGAAACCGAGUCUUAACUGGGCGUUAAGUUGCAGGGUAUAGACCCGAAACCCGGUGAUCUAGCCAUGGGCAGGUUGAAGGUUGGGUAACACUAACUGGAGGACCGAACCGACUAAUGUUGAAAAAUUAGCGGAUGACCUGUGGCUGGGGGUGAAAGGCCAAUCAAACCGGGAGAUAGCUGGUUCUCCCCGAAAGCUAUUUAGGUAGCGCCUCGUGAACUCAUCUUCGGGGGUAGAGCACUGUUUCGGCUAGGGGGCCAUCCCGGCUUACCAACCCGAUGCAAACUACGAAUACCGAAGAAUGUUAUCACGGGAGACACACGGCGGGUGCUAACGUCCGUCGUGAAGAGGGAAACAACCCAGACCGCCAGCUAAGGUCCCAAAGUCAUGGUUAAGUGGGAAACGAUGUGGGAAGGCACAGACAGCCAGGAUGUUGGCUUAGAAGCAGCCAUCAUUUAAAGAAAGCGUAAUAGCUCACUGGUCGAGUCGGCCUGCGCGGAAGAUGUAACGGGGCUAAACCAUGCACCGAAGCUGCGGCAGCGACACUAUGUGUUGUUGGGUAGGGGAGCGUUCUGUAAGCCGUUGAAGGUG